GCAGGUAUAGAAGAAUAGGUAAAUUCGUUAGUUUUCCACACUAAAAAUUGUGGGUUCGAAUCCCGCUACCUGCU
rnacentral:tRNA from 1 species